UGUCAUUCACUUCUACUGUGGAAGUUACACAAUAUUAAUCAGUCAUACGAAUCGAGGUCCUAAUUGGAAAAAGUCGUCCGAACGGAAGGGCCUUUUGACUUUUUCCCCGAAGGGCUUUUUUGAACCAGUCCGGGCCUGAU